UUAGGUAGUUAAUGGCAUGCAAAAAUUUAACAUAAGGGAAUUCAUUCUAACUUCUUUGCAAUUUUAGAAAGAGUUGAAAAAAUCAUCCAAAAAAAGUUAGUUGAAGUGGAAGUUGACUUUUGACUUUUCUUAUUGACAGUUGACUAUUCUUGCUCAAACAUAAACUCUAUUCCACCAACUAACUAUUCUGAUUAACACCUAUUUGCAACAGAAUUUGUUCUUACAACAAUUGCAGCAUGCUUGUUAGUAGCGGCAAUAGCCAAAGACUCAGACAAAUCUCAUGUCCACCAAGAAUGGCUUACCGGACACUGCCAUCUAUGGCUGCUUCAUCGUCAUCUUCGUCUUCCAAAAAACACGAUGUUUUUAUCAGUUUUAGAGGCGAGGACACACGCAACAACUUCACAAGCCAUCUUUGUGCUGCUCUUAACCAAAGCAAGAUACAAGUCUUCAUAGACAACAGAAUUUCCAAGGGAGAUGAGAACUCUUCCUCAAUCUUCAAAGCCAUAAGGGAUUCCAAUGUGUCCGUGGUUGUUCUGUCAAAGGACUACGCUUCCUCGACGUGGUGCAUGCGUGAACUCACCAAAAUACUCGAGCAAAAGAAACAUGGUAAGGGCCACAUUGUGGUACCUGUGUUCUAUAAGAUUGACCCUUCACAUGUUAGGAAGCAAAUUGGCACUUAUAAGAAAGCAUUUGAGAAACAUGAGAGAGAUGUCAAACACAACAUUCUGCUGAAAUGGAAAUCUGCUCUGACUGAAGUAGCCAAUUUAGUUGGGUGGGAUUCACAGAAUUACAGGAUCGAAUCUGAACUCGUUGAGGAAGUUGUCAAAGAUGUUAUGCAAAAACUGAAUUGCAUAUAUCCCCCUGAAGUGAAAGAUCUUGUUGGAAUUGACCAAAAUCUUGCUCCCAUUAAAUCCUUGUUGAGAAUCAGGUCAAGAGAAGUUCGAAUAAUAGGAAUUUGGGGCAUGGGCGGAAUAGGUAAAACAACCAUUGCCAAAGCCUUGUUUUCCAAACUAUCUUCUCAAUAUGAAGGUAGCUGCUUCUUGGAGAAUGUAAGGGAAGAAUCAGAACAGCAUUUGCUGAAUAAACUUCUUUCUGAGGUACUAGAGGAUGCAAAUCACUAUUUCGGCACACCUAUAGCAAGAUCCACCUUUUUUAUGAGGAGGCUUAGCCGAAAAAAGGUGUUAAUAGUGCUUGAUGAUGUUGACAAUCCGAAGAAGCUCGAAGUUCUUGCUGCAAAACAUAAUUUCUUGGGACCAGGCAGUAGAGUCAUUGUCACAACUAGAGAUAAGCAUGUCCUUAGCAAAGGGGUCGAUGAAAUAUACGAGGUCAAAGGAUUGCCCCUUCAUCAUGCUAUUCGGCUUUUUAGUUUAAAUGCCUUUGACAAAAGCUAUCCUGAAUCAGGUUUUGUGAUGCAAUCUAAAAUGGUGGUUGAUUAUGCAAAUGGCAAUCCAUUGGCUUUAAAAGUUUUAGGCUCAUUCCUUCAUUCUAGAAAUCUGCAACAAUGGAACAGUGCUCUGAGAAAACUCACAAAAAUUCCAAAUACGGAGAUUCAGAAUGUGUUGAGGUGGAGUUAUGAUGGAUUAGAUGAUGAUGAACAGAAGAAUAUGUUUCUGGACAUUGCAUGCUUUUUCCAAGGAGAGAAGAAAGAAACUGUUACAAGGCUACUUGAUAUUUGUGGUUUCUAUGCAGAUAUUGGGAUAAGAAUCCUGCAGGACAAAGCUCUAAUAACAUUUUCAGAUGCAAAUGAAUUACACAUGCAUGAUUUGAUACAAGAAAUGGGUUUGGAAAUUGUUCGUCAGGAAUCAACCAAAGACCCUGGAAGGCGCAGCCGGUUGUGGGAUCCCGAGGAAAUCUAUGAUGUACUGAAAAAUGAUAGGGGAAGUGAUGCAGUUGAAGGCAUAAUGUUAGAUGUGUCGCAAAUGAGAGUCUUGAACUUGAGCUAUGAGAGCUUCUCAAGGAUGACCAGUCUAAGAUUCAUCAAAUUCUAUAUGAGUAGGGGUAGGACAUGCAAUCUGUUCCUUCUUUCAGGUCUUGAAUCAUUGUCUAGUAAAUUGAGGUACCUCCAAUGGGAUGGAUACCCUUCCAAGUCUUUGCCAUCGACCUUUUCUCCGGACAACCUUGUUGUGCUUUCCAUGAUGGGAAGCCAUGUUGAAAAACUAUGGGAUGGAGUUAAGGUAGUUUCUUGUAUCAUACACAAGAAGGUCAAGUUAAAUAUUUUGCUGUUAAACCCUUACAAUUCACUAUUUUUAUUGUUGCAGAGUCUUCCAGGCUUGAAAGAGAUCAACCUUCGCGCCUGCAGCAAUUUAACCAAUCUCCCCGACUUAUCUCUAGCGCCAAAUCUUGAAAGGGUAGAUCUUUCUCUUUGUACAAGUCUGCUUUGUGUUCCCACAUCUAUCAAGUAUACCAACAAACUUCUUUUGUUUAACCUGGAAUCCUGCAAAAAUCUGAAGAGUCUUCCAAGAAACAUUCACUUAUUUUCUCUUCAAAUGUUCAUUCUCAAAGGCUGUUCAAGUCUUGAUGAGUUUUCAUUGACUUCAGAGAACAUGACACGCCUGGACUUAAGAGGGACAGAUAUUGAACAUUUUCCAGAAUCACUUUGGCAACUUCUUAACCAGCUGGUUUACUUGAAUCUGGAAUCCUGUGCUAAGCUUAAGAGUCUCACAAGCAACAUUCACUUGGUAUCUCUACAAAGGCUCAAUCUUAGAGAUUGUUCAAGCCUUGAAGUUUUCUCUGUGACUUCGGAGAACAUGGAAUACCUGAAUUUGGGAGGAACAUCAAUUAAAGGAUUGCCAACAUCAAUUUGGCGAAACAAUAAGCUUUUUACUUUGGUUCUUCAUUCCUGUAAAAGACUUGUGAAUUUUCCAGACAAGCCGAAACUUGGUGAAUUGUCUCUUACUUUCAAUGAGCAAAACUCUUUUGAAGGUCCAACUGUGGAUGAACCAUGGAAUUUGUCAUCCUUAUCAGAUUUAUCACUGAAAGGAAGCGGUAUUGUGAACUUACCUGCAAGCAUCAAAGAUCUUCCAAGACUGAAAAAACUUACCUUGAUGGAUUGCAAGAAGCUUCGGUCUCUACCAAGCCUUCCAUCAUCUUUGGAAGACUUAUCCCUUGAUGAAAGAAAUAUUGAUUUUUUACCUGUAAAUAUCAAAGAUCUUUCUCAUUUGAAAAAGCUUACCAUAAUUAACAAGAAGAGGCAGUUUUCUCCACCGGAGCUUCCACCAUCCUUGAAAGAUAUAUUCCUAAAUGAAAGUAAAGUUGAUUCCUUGCUUCUGAGCAUGAAAGAUCUUUCUCAUCCACAAAAGUUUCCUUUGAUAAAGUGUAAAUGGCUUCAUCCUCUACUUGAGUUUCCGCCAUUUUUGGAAGAUUUAUCAAUAAAUGAAAGCAAUAUUGAGUGCCUGCCCGUUAGCAUAAAAGAUCUUUCUCACCUGAGAAAACUAUCCUUAAUAGAGUGCCAGAGGCUUCGGUACUUGCCAGAGCUUCCCCGAUCUUUAGAACAUCUGUCUGUAAAUGGCUGUAACAUUGAGAGCUUGCCAAGGAACAUCAAAGAUCUUUCUCAUUUGCAAACCAUUACCUUAGUCGAUUGCAAGAGGCUCCGGUCUGUACCAGAACUUCCACCAUGCCUGCAAUCUUUUUGUGCAGCAGAUUGCAGAUCACUUGAGAUUGUUCCAAGUUCAAGGACUAUCUUGAUGGAAGAGAGGAUUGCCUUUUAUUACAAUUGCAUAAACUUGGAUCAGAAUUCGCGCAACAACAUCAUUGCAGAUGCCCCCUUCGAGGCAGCUUUUGCUUCCUUGAAAGAAAGAACACCUCUUGGUCCUUUGAUAUCCAUAUGUCUGCCAGGAAUUGAAAUCCCAGACUGGUUCAGUUACCAAACACCGAAUUCUGCAUUGAACAUAGAAAUUCCUCAACAGUGGUUCAUUGAUUCGAAGUUCUUAGGCUUUGCUCUAUGCCUUGUAAUUGGUGGUUCUCAUCAAAACAGCAAUGAAGGCUAUGAUCCAGAUAUUAAUUGUUAUCACUUUGUAAAGCCUGCUGGCAACUCUGAUCCCAAUGAUCGUUUUCUUGGACAUUGCACAACUAUAAUGCAGGUGCCGUGGGGUUUCAAUUCAGAUCAUAUAUUCAUAUGCUACUAUCCAGCUUUCAAUGUUCCCAUCAUGCAAGAUUUCAAGGACUUAGCCAAGUACUAUGAUGCAAACAGCCUGAAUCUCAGGGUCAUUUUUAAAUUUAAGGGUCCAUCUCAAAGGUUGGACCUUGUGAAGAAGUGUGGAGUCAGACCACUAUUGAUUGCUAAUACUAAAAGGAUUCACAUUGAGACUUGAGAGUAAACUACAACCUGAAGAAAAAAGGCAAUCAGAAAGUGAAACUGGGAAUUUUGAUGAGAGAACCAAGGUGGGAUUGGUUGAGAUUUCUUGUUGGAGACCCUCUUCAUGGGACCUCCAUUGGAUCAGAGCAUUUAGUUGGGUUCCAACUUCCAAGUAGUAGGGCCCGGAUGUUGGUGGUUCAAUGGGGACAGAAAAAGAAAGAGACUAAGAGAAAGAAGCACAACCUGAGGCAACAGAAGGAAAUUCUGUCCAGUGGUUGCUGAUCAAUACAGCUAUUCUUGAAGCCAAGAGCUGACUUCACAUGUUGCACGAAAAAGAAGCUAUACUUUGGGAGUUCCAAUUACAGCUAAAGCUGCAGAUGAGGCACACACUUCUGUUAAUCAAGCUUUUGGAGUAUAUUUAUUUAUUAUUCUGAUCCUUGUUUGAUUCCUUCCACUGGUAGAAAAAAGAUACAAAAAUUUGCAAACCCUCCAUGGAUUUCUUCUAAUUGACUCAAAUAAAUGCUAACCAUUUCUUCCCCCAAAUGGCAUUCUCUCCUAUUUUCAAGGAAAGAGGCUAAGCCCCUUCUAAAUGUAAUCAAACUUGUCUCAACUCUCAACUACUGCAACUGCUAUUUCCUGUAGUAAAUCCUGAAUCCUCUUUAGGUUGAUAGUCUACCUCUACCGUUAAAAGAGUAAGGACAUUAUUAUGUGGCAAAAUUGAAAUUAGAAUUUAGAAAUAUUAGAAGAUCAAAGCCAGUAAUAUAUAUAGAGUCAAAUAUGGCUUACUCUUGACAAUAACAUCUUGCUUGCUUUCUUCACUAGCUAAAUAUCACUUAGAUACUGCAGUUCCGCCAAAACCUUGCAGGGAUGAACCAUGCAUCUCUAUGCAGACUACAUCUUGAAUUACAAUAAAUUAAAAUACACGAGCAUUAGAUAAUGCUGGUUGUAGUAUACUAAAUCUAAAAACUUUUCAGUAUAUUUUAUCCCUCUUCCCCUAACGAACUUCAAUCAACUAUAUCUCUGCAACUUAUACAACAAAAUUGUACAAGAGAACCAGCUGGUGUCUUCUGAACUGCAAUACUAAGAGCAACAAUAUGGCUACAAGAACAAAAUGUUAGACAAAGAUCCACAGAGUUUCUGACAUUUGCUGCUGUAGGGAAGCUCCAAACAGGAUUGGUGUAAGCCAGCAUUUUACAGUAAUUCUGAGCAUCUGAGACAAGCACGAUUCAUAAGCCUAUUCACGAGGCUAUUGGGUUCUGGAAUGAGAGCA